rnacentral:rRNA from 1 species
GACGAACGCUGGCGGCGUGCCUAAUACAUGCAAGUAGAACGCUGAAGAGAGGAGCUUGCUCUUCUUGGAUGAGUUGCGAACGGGUGAGUAACGCGUAGGUAACCUGCCUGGUAGCGGGGGAUAACUAUUGGAAACGAUAGCUGAUACCGCAUAAAAUUGAUUAUUGCAUGAUAAUUAAUUGAAAGAUGCAACUGCAUCACUACCAGAUGGACCUGCGUUGUAUUAGCUAGUUGGUGAGGUAACGGCCCACCAAGGCGACGAUACAUAGCCGACCUGAGAGGGUGAUCGGCCACACUGGGACUGGGACACGGCCCAGACUCCUACGGGAGGCAGCAGUAGGGAAUCUUCGGCAAUGGGGGGAACCCUGACCGAGCAACGCCGCGGGAGUGAAGAAGGUUUUCGGAUCGUAAAGCUCUGUUGUAAGAGAAGAACGGGUGUGGGAGUUGAAAGUUCACACUGUGACGGUAUCUAACCAGAAAGGGACGGCUAACUACGUG